CACCUUUUCACCCCAUUCCUCUUAGCUCAUAGAGAAUCCUACAAAUCAUACAGCUUUCUGUGCCUCACUCAAAAACUGGAGCCUCUCAAAUAUUAUAUUGCUUCCCUCCAUUCAACAUAAUAGUAGUAUUUGAUGUGCUAAGGGAGAAAGUAGAAGUGGCUGGCUACAGCUGAAUAUUAAGAAAACAAAAAUAAUGACCACAGAAGAUUUACAACACUUUAAAAAGUGGACAAGGAAGACAGAGAAAGCAAAAGAAGACUAACACUUGGAAGGGAAAUUAAGAAGGAACUAGGUAAGAUCCUCAGGUGUAAAGAGAUAUCAUUGAAUACUAAAGUAAGAAUAAUUCAGGCCAUCGUAUUUCCAAUUUCUGUGCAUGUUUGUGAAAGAUGCACAGUCAAGACAGCUGAUGUAAAUCCUAUGAAUUAUUGGUUUGGCCCAGAGAGUGCGGAAAAUCCCAAGGAAGGGGAUGUACUUGCUGGCUGAGUUCUGGAGAGAAAAAUCUGGAGCUGGAGCUGCCAGAUCUAAGGAGUAGACCUCUUUCACCUUGAAUAAGAAAUCCAAAUGCUAUUCUCUUGUUACUCUGGUGCUACUAAUGGCGGACAACACUUGCUCUGUGUUCCCUUCCAGAAAUGUCACCUGCAGGGACAACCGUACCUGGAAUAUAUUGUAAGAAAAGCAGAGUUGGACACAGAAGAAGGAAAAGUGAAAGUAGGAGGAAGGAAUAUCAACUAUCUAAGCAGACAUACUGAGCUGUGAGAUUCCACUCUUCAUGUCAGAGUUUGUCAAGAGGGCUCCGUUGUUGUUUAUCGCUCAAGCGUAAGAUAGACUGGAGGUCAUUGUUUCUUUAGUUCAAGUAGCCCUGUCUAGCUCUUAUUGGAAGAAUGAAAGCGACAUGCAUGGGUUCCUCAAUGUAAAAAGAACUACCGGGUGUAGGAAGGA